AAGGAUAAUUGUGUUGGAGGAGGCUUUGAUAUCCAAAGAAAUACACCUCUUCUUCCAACCUUGUUAAAUUGAUGUGUCACUAAAUGCAAUUUGUCAUUAACAACAAGGGCAUCAUAGGGAUGGACCAGGUGGUGAAUAAGAAAUACCCUGGACUGAAGAAACAAUGUUCAUCUACUUUCAAGUCAGCACAGUAUGGAAUAUUUAUAAUGGCAUGCCAAAGUUGCUUCUUCAGUUGCUGUAUUCCAAUCACGAGAAUCAUCACAUCAAGUCUGUUAUACCUAUUAAGUUGUAUUUGCCUUCCUGUGCUAACAGUUUAAGUUCACCUUGUUUAUUUACCACAUUCUAAGUAUGAACAUGAAGGGCAGAAACCUUUUAUGUAUAUUUUGAUUUGAACUGUAAUUUCAAGGGGCAGGUUCAUGGCAAUGGAAUACUGUACAUAGAGAUAUGUUACAUGAAAAGGAAAACCAUGAAAGCCUAUACUUGGUAAACCAACGAUGAAAACCAAAAGGAUAAAAACCAACGUUAUCAAAACCAAGGAAUUAAAAAAAAAGUCUUCAGUCUCUACAGAUAUUGAUGUCUAAAUGUUUGAGGGAGAUCCAGAUACAGGUUUCCUUCCAUUACACUUAGUUUACUGUAUCAACUUCAAUGGUUCAGGCCUGCUGCAUCCAUCUUUCUUUUUCUAAGAUUGCCACAGCGUCGAAGGGGAGAAGUCUGGAAUGUCAGCCCAGACAACAACAACAGACCAUCCCCUGGGAACCAAGGUCAUCUCAACAGGUGCUGGCCAGAGACCGAGGAGAGUUGCCAAGGAGAUGCCAGAACACCUAAUUGGACAAUGUGACCUGUGACCAUGAGGGAAGGAAUUAUUUAUUCUUUAAUUAUACUGAAACCGCUGGAAAUAUUUAGAGCUGGUUUCGUUUUCAUUCAUGCUGACAUGAUGUACUCAAUAAAACAGUUCUUUGG